UAUCAUUGGGAAAGGUAGGCCAAGCGGUCUUUACUUAUCAUUGGGAAAGGUAGGCCAAACGGCCUUUACUUAUCAUUGGGAAAGGUAGGCCAAGCGGCCUUUACUUAUCAUUGGGAAAGGUAGGCCAAACGGUCUUUACUCAUCAUUGGGAAAGGUAGGCCAAACGGCCUUUACUCAUCAUUGGGAAAGGUAGGAUGUGUUUUGGACAUAUCCUUUCUGUGCUCCAGCAAUUUAUGAACAGAUGCCUCCUUCCAUCAGUCGUAUGCACCUUGUUCAGUAUCUGUCACUUUACAGUACUGUAGUUCAUGAUCUGGUUUUACUUACUUUAUGACAUUCCUCCUCGUUCUUAUAGGCUGGAGCAGACUUAGACUCAAAAUAAGACCGGUUUAAAAUAGUUUUAGCCUGUUAAAGCAGGGUUUCCCAAACCUUUCUUUUUCAAGGUGAAGGGGGAGGUUCGGACAGAGCUAAAGGACGUCCAUUUUUUUUGCACUGAUCACAGACGUGGUCAAGUGUAAAUAUGACUUCUUACAUGAGCCUGACAGUGCAUGUCACGAAAGACUGAACACUAUCUCAGGCUAACAUAGUUUGGAAAGCAAUUGGCUAUUGCUUCAAAGAGAAGACAAUGAAAAGACUAAUCUGUCUUUUAGUUAUCAAAAUUCUCAACUUAAUUGAGCGAACAGUAUUUUUGCCAUUGGCUAUAUCCCCGGUGAGUGUGCAUAUUCACUUUCUUUAUCCCUGGGUCAGUGCCACUUGAAAGUCAUAUUGAAAAAGAUUCUGCUAAUCUCUAUAGUCAUAUAAAGUGUAGUAGAAUUGCAUGAUAAAAAAUAUUUUAACAAGGGGGGGGAAAAAUCCUGUAAAGAGAAACAUAUCUGACAUAGCCUAGCCUAGCCUUACUCUACCACGCGCUGCAUUGAACAGCCGUUUUUUUGUGAACAGUGAUUGAGUUAUAUUAUUAACCUAAAUGAUGACUAUCCAAUUUACUAAUCACAUUAGCAAUAGUCAGCUAUCUUACAAAAGUCUGUAAAUGUGAUGAUGCAUAGAAUGCUUUAUUUAUUUUUUUAUGGUGAAAAUGAGCUUCCCCUUAACUUGAGACUCGCGCGCCUAUGAGCAAGACAGUUAGGCCUAAACACUCCGUUUUUCUUUGCUAAUGUUUCCCCCGUCCGUCCUGUCGGCUGUCAGCAAUGUCGAUGACUGUGUACAUACCGCACGUCAAUCACCGACACCGGAAGUCCCAUGACCGUCACAGCCCUAAUUGUAUGCUUGAGUUUGUUCAAGAGAGGCUUUGACGCCAGAUUUGAGCAGAUCUUGCUUUAGUUUUCCUCAGCCUGUGUUUUGUUUCUCUCUCCUUUUCCUGUUAGAUGGUGAUGCUGCUUCUCUCCAGAGGAGCCAACAUUAAUGCUUUUGACAAGAAGGACCGCCGAGCAAUCCACUGGGCUGCUUACAUGGGGCACAUUGAGGUGGUGAAACUGCUGGCCUCUCAUGGAUCAGAGGUCUCCUGUAAAGACAAGAAGGCCUACACCCCUCUCCACUCUGCAGCCUCCAGCGGCAUGAUCAGCAUAAUCAAGUACCUCCUGGACCUUGGGGUGGAUGACAGUCUGUAAUCCCGACAUAUUUCAAGCUGACUACCAUUGUCCAUGUUCCCAAGAACUCCAAGAUCCACAGAUGAAGCAAUCUCAAUUGAGAGGGGAAAUACCUAUGUGAGAAUACUGUUCAUAGACUACAGCCCAGCGUUCAACACCAUAGUCCCCUCCAAGCUAGGGACCUUGGGACUGAAGACCUCCUUCUGCAACUGGAUGCUGGACUUUCUGACGGGCCGGCCCCAGGUGGUGAGGAUAGGCAAGAACACCUCUGCCACACUGACCUUCAACACGGGAGACCCUCAGGGAUGCGUGCUUAGUCCCCUCUUGUACUCCCUGUUCACCCAUGACUGUGUGACCACACACGACUCCAACACCAUCAUCGAGAUUGCUGACGACACGAAGGCGAUGAGAGGUCAGAGACUUGGCAUUGUGGUGCCAGGACAACCUCUACCUCAAUGUCAGUAAGACCAAGGAGCUGAUCGUGGACUAUAGGAGCAAGAGGGGAGAGCACGUCCCCAUCCACAUCAACAGGGCUGUUAAAGGGUCUUGCUCUGAACCUACCCACAAUCACUAGACUGUAUACAAACCAUAUGCACACACACACACACACACACACUACAUUCACACUCCCACACAAAACCCACACACACACACAAACCCGACACAACCCAAACACACAUGCAUACACAUUACACACUCUCACAAACAAACACACACCUUUACACUCAUUUGCUGCUGCUGCUCUGUUCUUUAUUUUUCUCUUAUUAUUAUCUAUCCUGAUGCCUAGUCACUUUACCCUGCCUUGUACAUAUCUACCUCAAAUACCUCGUACCCCUGCACACUGAUAUGGAACUGGUACUCCUUGUAUAUAGCUUUAUUCUUGGGUAUUUUAUUACACUGUUACAAUAUAUACAGUGCCAGUCAAAAGUUUGGACACACCUACUCAUUCCAGGGUUUCUUUAUUUUUUUUACAAUUUUCUACAUUGUAGAACAUCAAAACUAUGAAAUACCACAUAAGGAAUCCUGUAGUAACCAAAAAAAUCGAAAUAUAUUUUAUAUUUGAGAUUCUUCAAAGUAGCCACCCUUUUCCUUGAUGACAGCUUUGCACACUCUUGGCAUUCUCUCAAUCAGCUUCAUGAGGUACUCACCUGGAAUGCAUUUCAAUUAACAGGUGUGCCUUGUUCAAAGUUAAUUUGUGGAAUUUAUUUCCUUAGUGCUUUUGAGCCAAUCACUUGUUUUGUGACAAGGUAGGGGUGGUAUACAUAAUAGCCCUAUUUGGUAAAAUACCAAGUCCAUAUUAUGGCAAGAACAGCUGCCCACCAUGAUCAUGGGAGGUGUGAGAGAAUUGCUGCUCUUUGUGAUGACUGUGGGGGUUGUCAUAGGUUGGUUCACUAAUGUUUUAUUUGGAUUGAAGUGAUUUGUUCGGGAAAUAUGCAGAACUUUACAAGUGUGAGAUUAAAAUUUGACUGUCUGUUUCUUCCGUGUUGGUCAACUUAGAAAAAAGGGUUUCAAAAGGGUUCUUCAGCUGUCCCUAUAGGAGAACCCUUUUUGGUUCCAGGUAGAACCAAUUUUGGUUCCAGAUAGAACCCUUUUAGGUUCC